UACGUAGGGUGCAAGCGUUAAUCGGAAUUACUGGGCGUAAAGCGUGCGUAGACGGUCAUGUAAGUCGGAUGUGAAAGCCCCGGGCUCAACCUGGGAAUUGCAUUCGAGACUGCAUGGCUUGGGUGCGGAAGAGGGAAGCGGAAUUUCCGGUGUAGCGGUGAAAUGCGUAGAUAUCGGAAGGAACACCAGUGGCGAAAGCGGCUUCCUGGUCCGACACCGACGUUCAGGCACGAAAGCGUGGGGAGCAAACAGG
rnacentral:rRNA from 1 species